rnacentral:rRNA from 1 species
CGAUGACGAGACGCUAAGGCGUUGAAGCAGUGUAUGUCAGACUUCCAAGAAAAGCUCGCAAUGUCACAAAUAAAAGAUGCCUGUACCAUAACCGACACAGGUGGGUAGGUAGAGUAUACUAAGGGGCGCGAGGUAACUCUCUCUAAGGAACUCGGCAAAAUGACUCCGUAACUUCGGGAGAAGGAGUGCCUUAUUUAUAAGGUUGCAAUAACAAGAUCCAAGCAACUGUUUAUCAAAAACACAGGUCUCCGCUAAGUCGUAAGACGAUGUAUGGGGGCUGACGCCUGCCCAGUGCCAGAAGGUUAAAGAAGUUGGUUAGUGUAUGCGAAGCUGAUGACUGAAGCCCUGGUGAACGGCGGCUGUAACUAUAACGGUCCUAAGGUAGCGAAAUUCCUUGUCGGGUAAGUUCCGACCCGCACGAAAGGCGUAAUGAUUUGGAUACUGUCUCGGAGAGAGGCUCGGUGAAAUAGACUUGUCUGUGAAGAUGCGGACUACCUGCACCAGGACAGAAAGACCCUAUGAAGCUUUACUGUAACUUGAAAUUGGAAUUGGACUUUGCUUGCGCAGUAUAGGUGGGAAGCGUUGAAAAUAUUCUUGCGGGAGUAUUGGAGCUAUCAGUGAGAUACCACUCUUGUAAUGUUAGAUUUCUAACUUUGAACCAUAAUCUGGUCAAAGAACAGUUUCAGGUGGGCAGUUUGACUGGGGCGGUCGCCUCCCAAAUGGUAACGGAGGCGUACAAAGGUUUCCUCUGAACGGAUAGAGAUCGUAUCUAGAGUGUAAAGGCAUAAGGAAGCUUGACUGUGAGACCUACAAGUCGAGCAGGGACGAAAGUCGGUCUUAGUGAUCUGACGGUACUGAGUGGAAAGGCCGUCACUCAACGGAUAAAAGUUACUCUAGGAUAACAGGCUGAUCUCCCCCAAGAGUUCACAUCGACGGGGAGGUUUGGCACCUCGAUGUCGGCUCAUCGCAUCCUGGGGCGGUAGUACGUCCCAAGGGUUGGGCUGUUCGCCCAUGAAAGCGGUACGCGAGCUGGGUUCAGAACGUCGUGAGACAGUUCGGUCCAUAUCCGGUGUAGGCGCUAGAAUAUUGAGAGGAGCCUUCUUUAGUACGAGAGGACCGAGAAGGACACACCGCUGGUGUACCAGUUAUCGUGCCAACGGUAAACGCUGGGUAGCUAUGUGUGGAGUGGAUAACCGCUGAAAGCAUCUAAGUGGGAAGCCCACCUCGAGAUGAGUAUUCCC